UAUGUAACCCGAGGUACCACUGUAUCUGUGUUCUAAUGUCCACAGGUCUUUCAGCAAUGACCAGGUUUUAUCAUUGCUUUUUAUUGAUUUUACAUGUUCCAUAUCUUUAUUUAUUUUUAAAAUGUGCUGUAAGUAAGUAAGUAAGUAAGUAUAAAUUUCCAUAGUAUUGCUAUAAUUUUUUGGUGUCAAACUUGAGCAGUGUAUAUAUAAAAAUCAACAAUAAAACAAAUCCAACCUCAUGAUGAUCUGACGAUGGAUUUGAACCUUUUCUAGGGCAGGAACGGGGGCCGCAGGGUCAACAGAACCCACCACACCAGGCCAGCUGCCGGGCGCAUGUGCAUGAGGCGCACAGGGUUCAUGGAGCCCUUUUCUAGGGUUGAUUCUAAAGAUGGACUUAACAGAAUUUGGCCCUUGGUGCCCAGGGCAGAGAAAGCUGAAACGUGCUCAUUAGAAAUGCCUUGAAAAUCGGACUUGAGGGAAUUGUUGGAGAGGCAUUACCCCCCCUCCCUCAGGACACAAGACUUUUAGUCUAUUUAUUUGGGUUCAAGUUUAUAACCUUACUUCCUGUGCCAAAUGUCCACUCAACGUUCAGCUUACAGCAUCUUAAAAUAAAGCAAGAUCGCAAAGAUUAAGUAUUACAAAACAGUAAAACCAACAACAGUAAAACAG